rnacentral:rRNA from 1 species
UACGUAGGGACCAAGCGUUGUUCGGAUUUACUGGGCGUAAAGGGCGCGUAGGCGGCAUGACAAGUCACUUGUGAAAUCUCCGGGCUUAACUCGGAACGGCCAAGUGAAACUGUCAAGCUAGAGUGCAGAAGGGGCAAUCGGAAUUCUUGGUGUAGCGGUGAAAUGCGUAGAUAUCAAGAGGAACACCUGAGGUGAAGACGGGUUGCUGGGCUGACACUGACGCUGAGGCGCGAAAGCCAGGGGAGCAAACGGG